CUGGUAAGAAAAUUACACUGAAGCAAAAACAGAGAAUAUGAGAACCCUGAGAAUGGAUAAAAGCUUAAAGACAUCUCUAUAGCUUGCCCUUUAAUUAAUACUUGCUCAGGUCUCAAAAAUCAAAAUUAUGUACUCAAGAAUAUACCUCUGAAAUAUAAAUGCUUUUAAAUUCACUUAUUGGUAAACUGGAGCAAAGUUCCCGUAGAGCACAUCAUUUAUCAUGUUCUCGUUGUGCAAAGCUAAAACAAGUUAUUUCUCUGCCUGCUAGAACAAAACAGUAGGUCUCUGGCUGUACAUAUGGGCAUCCUUGGGUGACAGGUUUGCAAGGCUGCCUGUCAGUUUAAAUCACCAAUGGUACAUAUUCUAUAACUAGCACGUCCACAUUCUGUUCCUUUCCCCUACAAG